ACAGGGGCCAGAAAAGAACAACAAUGUAAAUUACAAAUCAAAUCACUUCCUACACACACUGAUCCUAAAACAGAGACAUAGCACAGUGAGAAACAACUGAUUGUGUACUCCAAAUGCUGUAGUAGAAUACUGUUUCAUACUACACACUCAAAUGAUCCAAAACAAACCUUGUUAUUACUGUGGUAUACUACUACUACUACUACUACUACUACUACACUGAAAAAAAUAUGAACGCAACAUGCAACAAUUUCAACGAUUUUAUUGAGUUACAGUUCAUGUAAAGAAAUCAGUAAAUUCAAUUAAAUAAAUUAAGCAAUAAUCUAUGGAUUUCACAUGACUGGGCAGGGGCACAGCCAUGGGUUAGGCCUGGGAGGGCAUAGGCCCACCCACUUGGGAGCCAGGUCUAGCCAAUCAGAAUAAGAUUUCCCCCCACAAAAGGGCUUUAAUACAGACAGAAAUACUUCUCAGUUUCAUCCGCUGUCCAGGUGACAGGUGAAGAAGACAGAUAUGGACGUUCUGGGCUGGCGUGGUUGAAUGUGGUCUGAGGUAGUGAGUCCGGUUGGACGUCCUGGGCUGGCGUGGUUGAAUGUGGUCUGAGGUAGUGAGUCCGGUUGGACGUCCUGGGCUGGCGUGGUUGAAUGUGGUCUGAGGUAGUGAGUCCGGUUGGACGUCCUGGGCUGGCGUGGUUGAAUGUGGUCUGAGGUAGUGAGUCCGGUUGGACGUCCUGGGCUGGCGUGGUUGAAUGUGGUCUGAGGUAGUGAGUCCGGUUGGACGUCCUGGGCUGGCGUGGUUGAAUGUGGUCUGAGGUAGUGAGUCCGGUUGGACGUCCUGGGCUGGCGUGGUUGAAUGUGGUCUGAGGUAGUGAGUCCGGUUGGACGUCCUGGGCUGGCGUGGUUGAAUGUGGUCUGAGGUAGUGAGUCCGGUUGGACGUCCUGGGCUGGCGUGGUUGAAUGCGGUCUGAGGUAGUGAGUCCGGUUGGACGUCCUGGGCUGGCGUGGUUGAAUGCGGUCUGAGGUAGUGAGUCCGGUUGGAGGUCCUGGGCUGGCGUGGUUGAAUGUGGUCUGAGGUAGUGAGUCCGGUUGGACGUCCUGGGCUGGCGUGGUUGAAUGUGGUCUGAGGUAGUGAGUCCGGUUGGACGUCCUGGGCUGGCGUGGUUGAAUGUGGUCUGAGGUAGUGAGUCCGGUUGGACGUCCUGGGCUGGCGUGGUUGAAUGUGGUCUGAGGUAGUGAGUCCGGUUGGACGUCCUGGGCUGGCGUGGUUGAAUGUGGUCUGAGGUAGUGAGUCCGGUUGGACGUCCUGGGCUGGCGUGGUUGAAUGUGGUCUGAGGUAGUGAGUCCGGUUGGACAUCCUGGGCUGGCGUGGUUGAAUGUGGUCUGAGGUAGUGAGUCCGGUUGGACGUCCUGGGCUGGCGUGGUUGAAUGUGGUCUGAGGUAGUGAGUCCGGUUGGACGUCCUGGGCUGGCGUGGUUGAAUGUGGUCUGAGGUAGUGAGUCCGGUUGGACGUCCUGGGCUGGCGUGUUUGAAUGUGGUCUGAGGUAGUGAGUCC